UUUUUGUGCUAUAAUACAUGCAUACAUAAUACAUGCAUACAUAAUACAUAUAUUUUGUUUUGAAAGGUUUCAGUUAGUAGAUUCCGACGACUGUCAGUAGUAACACUGCAUCCAACUGUCAAACAUUAUCCAAUCAAGUUUUAGCUGAAGUGACGUCUAGAUUCUUCUUUCAUUCGCGGUAGUCAGCGGGUGCAUCACACACACUGGUUUGGACACAAUGAGAACGACACAAAUUGCCCAGUACGCUUUAAGACUCACAUAUUCGCAGCCUGCGAACCGUGAGAAGAUGAUGUCGAGGUCUGCGCUACUGCUCGCCGCCGUCGGCCUAGGCUUGUCCACGUUCAGCGUCCGCCAGAUGAUCCUCCACCAAACCAGACGAUUCUAGACACCAGACACUUAUUCCCAAAGCCAGAGCUCAACAGACAUGCCAGAUUCUAACCACCGGUCUGCCCUGUCCAUUAACGCGUUCUCUCACACAAACAGUCAAAUAUAUAUUUUUUUAAAAGUGAGAUACGCGCAAAUUCCAAUUUGGGUUCUGGCCGAAAAAAAUGGUAUAAGAACAUGUAUGUGAGAAAAAAAUGUAAUUUAUUCUUUUUUUUUAUUUUUUUUUUCUCUGGACGAAUGUGUUAGUACAUUUUAGACAUAGGAAGUAAGUUAAUUUCGGAACGGAUUUUAAGUGUGGUUUAGUAUGGAUGUGAGGAACGAUUUUUGCGAUUGUCUAUGUGAUGGAAACCAAAUAAAAAUAGACAGUAACAUUCCUGUGGCAUUUUAUUUUAACGGUCGAAGGAUAAUACUAACUGCUACUUCUACAUGUAUGGUUUCACCGCCUCGCGAUAGCUUUCUACCUGAAAACUACAAACAAAUGACGUUGUAAGCUAAUUAUCUGCAGAUAUAACGUAUCCUGGAGUAGUGGAACUGGCCUUUAAACUUUUGAAUGCCACGUUAUAGGUCUUGUUUUGUAAACAUCCUUUUUUGAGAGGACUCCAUGACAGGUCUAUUACGUUGGCUAUUGCCAUUCUCAUGUGCAGUGAUGAUGGCACCGUAUUCAUGUUAUUUACUUCAAAGGAAAUAAAUAAUAAUGAAUAUGAUUUGCGUUUAAAAACGCGCUAAAAGAGGCCAAUUCCACUUCUCCAGAAAAAACAUCUGCUAGAUAUUAAAAUAUGCACGUGUAAUGUUUUAAAUAAAUGAGUAGAUUAAUAUCCCGAAGCGGUGAAAUCCAAGCUUACCGUCUUUAUAGGGCUGACAAAAUAACAGCUUUUUUUCGAGGUGCUUAAUACCUGCACAAAAAUAGUUAGAAAAAUGCUUUUUCUAAAUUAAAAGUUAUUUUGCAAGCUCUGUUUAGCUAGUUGCACGCUGUAAUAUAUUCUGCUAUAUUCGCUUGACUAUCAGAAAUUAAUAAAGUAGAACAACUAGAUA